UACGUAGGGUGCAAGCGUUGUCCGGAAUUAUUGGGCGUAAAGAGCUCGUAGGCGGUCUGUCGCGUCUGCUGUGAAAACCCGGGGCUCAACCCCGGGCCUGCAGCCGAUACGGGCAGACUAGAGUUCGGCAGGGGAGACUGGAAUUCCUGGUGUAGCGGUGAAAUGCGCAGAUAUCGGGAGGAACACCGGUGGCGAAGGCGGGUCUCUGGGCCGAUACUGACGCUGAGGAGCGAAAGCGUGGGGAGCGAACAGG
rnacentral:rRNA from 1 species